rnacentral:lncRNA from 1 species
GGAAUCAUAUUUCUAGAAGGGAAAAUACUUCCCGCGAACCAAACGAGCCCUAUAAGUAUUUGCAUUUUUCCAACGAUUUUGCAUCUGAGAGGGAGAUCGGAAAGUGGUUUUGAAUAAUAUAACCCCAUUGGAAGAGCACACUUCGGCUUAUGACGGUGUAUAUUGGGUCUCUCUCUUUUGUGUCAGAUUCCUUGCUUCAGGACUGAAAAUCUAUACCACAUGUUGAAUUUAUUUUUCCUCCAUCUGUGGGCGGUUUGGCUUAUGCGAACCAAAAGCCUUUCAUGGGCGAGGGAGGGCAAGGAAGAGGGAGGGCGGAUGUUACCUAUGUGAAACAAAAGCUUUUCAUGGGACAUGGGGAUCCAAUCUAUAGGUUCACCUGAAACUAGUUACUCUUCAAAAAAUCUGUCUAUCUGAUCUCUUCAUGAAAAACCCUUUCCAGUGAAUUUCGCAAAAGAAGUUUGCGAACCCUCUUAAAGUUGAAUUAUCUGCUUCUGCUAGCAGGCUACCAACUGUUCAUUGAUGUAACUUAGAAAAUCAUAAGUGUCUAUUCCUUAAAAAACAAGCCUUCGUCCAUUGUCUUCUUUUGGUAUUCUUGGUGUUCCUCUUGCACAAUGACAUAGAAUGAUGUUCCACAUGCUAUCUGCUGGGAAAACUGAGAGCAGCAAAACAGAAGAAAAUUGAAUGUAUUAUGAUGAAAGGUUGCUGCCUCUAAGUUACAACUGA